UCCGGUGGCGAUGCGGUUAGGGGUCACACCCGUUUACAUCCCGAACACGAUGGUUAAGACCUAAUCGGCCGAUGAUACUAUGCUGGAGACGGCAUGGGAAAGCAGGUGGCUGCCGGGUU
rnacentral:rRNA from 1 species